UUCUCAAUUCUAAUCCCUAAUCUCCUUCUUCUUCUUCCCCCAAAAUUCUCCAAAAGAAAUCCUUAAUUCACAAACAAGGAAGAAGAAGCUGGAAACGGGAACCCUAGUUCUCUCCGCCAUCGACGAAUUCAUGGAGCCGCCGCUCUCAUCGCGUCUCCCGGAGGUGUCCGCCGUCGCCUACUCCAGGCUGCUGUCUCCGUCGCGAAGUAGCCACAACACGAACCGGAGCUCGCGCUUGCUCCCUCCACCGAACGCCCUCCGGCGAGUGUUUCCCCCCUUUCGGCGAAGUCGGCGGUGGAGAGGAGGCGUCGCCUCCUUCUCUUUCUCAGCCGCGGCCCGUAGCUGCCUCGCGCCGCCUCGGUUACUGCCGAAAUCGGGCAAGCUCCGAGACACGCCACUGCUACCUCGUGCCUCUGCUCCCGCGUCGUCGUCGGCUCCCCACGGUCAAGCUAAGUCUCACUCCCCUUCCCCUUUUAUUUAUUCAGAUUUGUGAUGUUCUACUUGAAGGCAGUAGCUAUGUGGUAUUGGGAUUUUUGGUGAUUGAGCUCGAUUACAGCAGUGUGUAUGCUAAGGCUUCGUGGAAAAAUUUAGUUUCCUAUGUCCUUGAGCUUCUGUCCCUAAAUUCCUAAACUUGGCUAUCUACUGUGUUCGCCUAAACGUGAUGCAUAAAGGGUGUUGUGGAGUUUACCUCUACUGCAGUGUUUCGGUUCUUGUCUCUGCUUCGGCUCUCCCUCCCUUUAGCUUGCUCCUCUGCUAUUGAGUAGUGGUGUUGUGGUGUGGUAUUGCUUGUGGUGUUGAGGGAGAGUGAAGCUGGGAUUAUUUAUGCCCAUUUGUCUAACUGAAAGCCUGUUAAGGCUGAUGUGUUGUGCAGCGAGGGAGUCCUUGCUUGGUUGUGUUUUGGCUGUUUUCUCUGCAAUCAUGCAGGGGUGUACUCGUGGGAUUAAAUGUGGUUGUUAUACCAUUUUGUUUCCUUCUUGCAGAACUCCCUUUUUCCCUUGAAGCUGCAUCCCUUAACCUGAACUUUGUGUGGUGAAAAGCAGGUGCAACAACAAGGAUUGUAGGGUUGUUACGUGACAACCGCAGAGCUGCUGCUCUACACGGAGCAGGCUUUGCACGGUCGAAAGGUCCAUGGUUGGGGCUGCUGUGAGCCGUGGAGUGCAGGAGACAUUGCAGCCUCUUGCUUUUCCUUCUUUUUUUUGGGACAAGAGGCUGACUCCUUCUCGGCUUUUGUCUCGUCGACUCGGCCCAACAGUGCCGUCGUGAUGGGGCCGCGGUCCGUGCCGGAGAGGCCCAACGCUAGUUUUCCUCCUUUCAUUUUCAUAUUAUAAUAACGUAGUUCGACUUUUAUCUUUGUCGUCAAGAGUUGUAAAUUAGUUCGGGAUUUCUGUAAUUAGCAAUUUCAUUAGCUUUGUAUUAAAUUUGAAAUUUGUACUUAAAAUUCUUAUUCAAGAAAUAAAAUCACUCCUUCAUCAA